rnacentral:rRNA from 1 species
UACGAAGGGGGCUAGCGUUGCUCGGAAUCACUGGGCGUAAAGCGCACGUAGGCGGCUUUUUAAGUCAGAGGUGAAAUCCUGGAGCUCAACUCCAGAACUGCCUUUGAUACUGGAGAGCUUGAGUCCGGGAGAGGUGAGUGGAACUGCGAGUGUAGAGGUGAAAUUCGUAGAUAUUCGCAAGAACACCAGUGGCGAAGGCGGCUCACUGGCCCGGUACUGACGCUGAGGUGCGAAAGCGUGGGGAGCAAACAG